rnacentral:rRNA from 1 species
AUGCCCACUUGUGGGUGGAUUAGUGGCGAACGGGUGAGUAACACGUGAGUAACCUGCCCUUGACUCUGGGAUAAGCCUGGGAAACUGGGUCUAAUACCGGAUAUGACCUUCCAUCGCAUGGUGGUUGGUGGAAAGCUUUUGUGGUUUUGGAUGGACUCGCGGCCUAUCAGCUUGUUGGUGGGGUAAUGGCCUACCAAGGCGACGACGGGUAGCCGGCCUGAGAGGGUGACCGGCCACACUGGGACUGAGACACGGCCCAGACUCCUACGGGAGGCAGCAGUGGGGAAUAUUGCACAAUGGGCGCAAGCCUGAUGCAGCGACGCCGCGUGAGGGAUGACGGCCUUCGGGUUGUAAACCUCUUUCAGUAGGGAAGAAGCGAAAGUGACGGUACCUGCAGAAGAAGCGCCGGCUAACUACGUGCCAGCAGCCGCGGUAAUACGUAGGGCGCAAGCGUUAUCCGGAAUUAUUGGGCGUAAAGAGCUCGUAGGCGGUUUGUCGCGUCUGCCGUGAAAGUCCGGGGCUCAACUCCGGAUCUGCGGUGGGUACGGGCAGACUAGAGUGAUGUAGGGGAGACUGGAAUUCCUGGUGUAGCGGUGAAAUGCGCAGAUAUCAGGAGGAACACCGAUGGCGAAGGCAGGUCUCUGGGCAUUAACUGACGCUGAGGAGCGAAAGCAUGGGGAGCGAACAGGAUUAGAUACCCUGGUAGUCCAUGCCGUAAACGUUGGGCACUAGGUGUGGGGGGACAUUCC